UGAGAGAUACGGUGCGAUACGCUUUGCA
rnacentral:sRNA from 1 species